UCAGUAACACAAAGAUGCUUUAUCCAACUUAUCUGCUGUGUUUAUUGUUGUGCUAUAUUCAGUGUUCCUGUGGACAGAUUGUGCUGACUCAGUCCUCAGAUGUCACUGUGUCACAAGGUGAAAGUGUCACCAUGACAUGUAAAGCCAGUAGUAGUGUUAGCAACUACUUACACUGGUACCAACAGAAAUCAGGACAACCACCAAAACCUCUUAUCUAUAGAGCAACCAGCAGAGUCACAGGGACCCCAGGCAGAUUCAGCGGCACUCAGUCUGGUACUGAUUUCACUUUGGCAAUCAGCGGAGUGCAAGCAGAAGAUGCAGCAGAUUAUUACUGUCAGCAGAGUAACAGCUUCCCUCUCACAUGUUCACUCCACCUUGUACGUAUCUUCCUGCAGGUGCGGCCCAAAUAUUGUAUGCCACAUCUGCAGUGUCAAUGUGCUACAGUUCCUUCUGAUUCGUCUAAACUGACUGUAGGGGAUGUUGGUCUUCCAACCAUUAAGAUGGUUGCUGGAGAAAUGGAGGAAGUUAUUACUAUCCACCUCCUUGAAAUAAGUGGAAGACACAACAUCCCCCAUGUCAUUCCAUCCGAGACAGACAUCUAA